rnacentral:rRNA from 1 species
UAAUACAGAGGGUGCAAGCGUUAAUCGGAAUGACUGGGCGUAAAGGGUGCGUAGGUGGCGAAUUAAGUUAGAUGUGAAAUCCCUGGGCUUAACCUAGGAACUGCAUUUAAUACUGGUUUGCUAGAGUAUGGGAGAGGUAAGUGGAAUUUCCGGUGUAGCGGUGAAAUGCGUAGAUAUCGGAAGGAACACCAGUGGCGAAGGCGGCUUACUGGCCUAAUACUGACACUGAGGCACGAAAGCGUGGGGAGCAAACAGG